GGCCUUGCGGCGCAAUUGGUAGCGCGUUCGACUCCAGAUCGAAAGGGUAUCCGCUCAAAUCGGGUCAGGGUCA